rnacentral:rRNA from 1 species
UACGUAGGGUGCGAGCGUUAAUCGGAAUUACUGGGCGUAAAGCGUGCGCAGGCGGUUUUGUAAGUCAGAGGUGAAAUCCCGGGGCUCAACUCCGGAACUGCCUUUGAAACUGCAUCGCUUGAAUCCGGGAGAGGUGAGUGGAAUUCCGAGUGUAGAGGUGAAAUUCGUAGAUAUUCGGAAGAACACCAGUGGCAAAGGCGGCUCACUGGACCGGCAUUGACGCUGAGGUGCGAAAGCGUGGGGAGCAAACAGG